rnacentral:rRNA from 1 species
GUCCACGCCGUAAACGAUGGGCACUAGGUGUGGGAGGUAUCGACUCCUUCCGUGCCGAAGCUAACGCAUUAAGUGCCCCGCCUGGGGAGUACGGCCGCAAGGCUAAAACUCAAAGGAAUUGACGGGACCCGCACAAGCAGCGGAGCAUGUGGUUCAAUUCGACGCAACGCGAAGAACCUUACCUGGGCUUGACAUGUCGGUGACCGCUGUGGAAACACAGCUUCCCUUCGGGGCACCGUCACAGGUGGUGCAUGGCUGUCGU